UGCCGUCAUGUAGUUGGUAUAUGU
rnacentral:siRNA from 1 species